GACGAACGCUGGCGGCGUGCCUAAUACAUGCAAGUAGAACGCUGAAGAGAGGAGCUUGCUCUUCUUGGAUGAGUUGCGAACGGGUGAGUAACGCGUAGGUAACCUGCCUUGUAGCGGGGGAUAACUAUUGGAAACGAUAGCUAAUACCGCAUAACAAUGGGUGACACAUGUCAUUUAUUUGAAAGGGGCAAUUGCUCCACUACAAGAUGGACCUGCGUUGUAUUAGCUAGUAGGUGAGGUAACGGCUCACCUAGGCGACGAUACAUAGCCGACCUGAGAGGGUGAUCGGCCACACUGGGACUGAGACACGGCCCAGACUCCUACGGGAGGCAGCAGUAGGGAAUCUUCGGCAAUGGGGGCAACCCUGACCGAGCAACGCCGCGUGAGUGAAGAAGGUUUUCGGAUCGUAAAGCUCUGUUGUAAGUCAAGAACGAGUGUGAGAGUGGAAAGUUCACACUGUGACGGUAGCUUACCAGAAAGGGACGGCUAACUACGUGCCAGCAGCCGCGGUAAUACGUAGGUCCCGAGCGUUGUCCGGAUUUAUUGGGCGUAAAGCGAGCGCAGGCGGUUUGAUAAGUCUGAAGUUAAAGGCUGUGGCUCAACCAUAGUUCGCUUUGGAAACUGUCAAACUUGAGUGCAGAAGGGGAGAGUGGAAUUCCAUGUGUAGCGGUGAAAUGCGUAGAUAUAUGGAGGAACACCGGUGGCGAAAGCGGCUCUCUGGUCUGUAACUGACGCUGAGGCUCGAAAGCGUGGGGAGCGGACAGGAUUAGAUACCCUGGUAGUCCACGCCGUA
rnacentral:rRNA from 1 species